AUGAAGAACGUAGCGAAAUGCGAUAAGUAAUGUGAAUUGCAGAAUUCAGUGAAUCAUCGAAUCUUUGAACGCACAUUGCGCCCCCUGGUAUUCCGGGGGGCAUGCCUGUCCGAGCGUCAUUACAACCCUCAAGCUCAGCUUGGUAUUGGGCCCCGCCGACCCGGCGGGCCCUAAAGUCAGUGGCGGUGCCGUCCGGCUCCGAGCGUAGUAAUUCUUCUCGCUCUGGAGGUCCGGUCGUGUGCUCGCCAGCAACCCCCAAUUUUUUUCAGGUUGACCUCGGAUCAGGUAGGGAUACCCGCUGAACUUAAGCAUAUCAAUAAGCGGAGGA
rnacentral:misc_RNA from 1 species